UCUCUGCUGCGUAUCGACUCC
rnacentral:miRNA from 1 species